UUGAGCCGUGUGAGCUGGAAACUCUCACGCACGGUUCUUAGAGGGGGCGUCGAAGGUAACUUCGGCGCCCUACUCGAC
rnacentral:ncRNA from 1 species